rnacentral:rRNA from 1 species
CCUACGGGAGGCAGCAGUAGGGAAUUUUCGACAAUGAGCGAAAGCUUGACGGAGCGACGCAGCGUGCACGAUGAAGGUCUUCGGAUUGUAAAGUGCUGUUAUAGGGGAAGAACAUUUGCCGUAGGAAAUGAUUUAAAACUGACGGUACUUUGUCAGGAAGCGAUGGCUAACUAUGUGCCAGCAGCCGCGGUAAUACGUAGGUCGCAAGCGUUUUCCGGAAUCAUUGGGCGUAAAGAGUUCGUAGGCUGCUUGUUGAGUCUGUGGUUAAAGGCCAGGGCUCAAACCCUGCUCGGUGUGGAUACCAGCAGACUAGAGGUAGAUAGAGGAUAGCGGAAUUCCAUGUGUAGCGGUGAAAUGCGUAGAUAUAUGGAAGAACACCAGAGGCGAAGGCGGCGUACUGGGUCGAUACUGACGCUGAGGGACGAAAGCGUGGGGAGCAAACAGGAUUAGAUACCCUGGUAGUC